rnacentral:rRNA from 1 species
GAUGAACGCUGGCGGCGUGCCUAAUACAUGCAAGUCGAACGAACUUUUGCGAGCUUGCUCUCAAAAGUUAGCGGCGGACGGGUGAGUAACACGAGGGUAACCUGCCGUUAAGACUGGGAUAACUACAGGAAACCUAAGCCAACACCGGAUAACAUUAUAGACGACAUGGACUUAAAUUCAAUGUUUGCUUUUAGCUACCACUAGCGGAUGAUGUCGCGGCGCCUUAGCUGGGUGGUGAGGUAAUGGCUCAACAAGGCGACGAAGCGUAGCCGACCUGAGGGGGUGGACGGGCAACCUUGGAAUGAGACAAGGCCCAAACUCCUGAGGGAGGGAGCAGGAGGGAAACUUUCGACAAGGACGAAAGUCUGACUGCACAACGGCGCGUGAGGGAAGAAGGCCUUCGGGUCGUAAAGCUCUGUUGUUAGGGAGGAAAAAGUAUCGUUCGAAUAGGGCGGGAUAUUGACGGUACCUAAAGAGAAAGCAACGGCUAACUACGUG